rnacentral:lncRNA from 1 species
UCCCAAUCCCGAUCUGAUCCCGAUCCCAAUCUGAUCCCAAUCCCGUUCCCAUUCCUGUUCCCAUUCCCCGUUCCCGGUCUUCUCCCAGUCCUGUUCCCGUUCUGCUCCCAAUCCUAUUCCCAUUCCCGAUCCCGUUCCUGGUCCAUUCUUGAUCCCAUUCCCAAUCCUGAUCUGUUCCCAUUCCUGAUCCUGAUCCUGAUCCCAUUCCCGAUCCCAUUCCCCAUUCCUGGUCUGCUCCCGAUCCCGUUCCCGAUCCCAAUUCCGUUCCCAUUCCCGAUCCAGAUCCCAAUCCCAUUCCUGUUCCCAUUCCCAAUUCCUGUUCCCGAUCCCAUUCCCCAUUCUUGGUCUGAUCUCAAUCCCGUUCCUGUUCCCAAUCCCAUUCCCAGUCCUGGUCCCGAUCCAGAUCCCGUUCCCAGUCCGAUCCCAAUCCCAUUCCUGGUCCAUUCCCGUUCCUGUUCCCGGUCUGAUCCCGAUCCCGUUCCCGAUCCCGGUCGGAUCCCGGUCGGAUCCCGGUGUCUCGAUCCCGUUCCGCUCCCGGUGUCUGAUCUGGGUCUCCUGAUCCCGAUCCCGGCGUCCCGGUCCAUUCCGGAUCCCCAGAUCCCGUUCCUGGUCCAAUCCCGAUCCCGGUGUCCUGGUCAGUUCCCGGUGUCCCGGUCCCUUCUGGAUCCCGCUCAGAUCCCGUUCCCGGUGUCCCGGUCCCUUCUGGAUCCCGCUCAGAUCCCGUUCCCGGUGUCCCGGUCCGUUCUGGAUCCCGCUCGGAUCCCGUUCCCGGUGUCCCGGUCCGUUCUGGAUCCCGCUCAGAUCCCGUUCCCGGUGUCCCGGGCUGUUCUGGAUCCCGCUCAGAUCCCGUUCCCGGUGUCCCUCUCCCGGUGUCCGCCGCCCCCCGCGUCAUCUGGUGCACGUCCGGCGGCC